AUUGACCGCUGGCGGCAGGCUUAACACAUGCAAGUCGAACGAGCGGCGGACGGGUGAGUAAUGUCUGGGAAACUGCCUGAUGGAGGGGGAUAACUACUGGCAACGAUAGCUAAUACCGCAUACCAUCAGAUGUGCCCAGAUGGGAUUAGCUAGUUGGUGGGGUAACGGCUCACCAAGGCAACGAUCCCUAGCUGGUCUGAGAGGAUGACCAGCCAAACUGGAACUGGGACACGGUCCAGACUCCGACGGUGGGCAGCAGUGGGGAAUAUUGCACAAUGGGCGCAAGCCUGAUGCAGCCAUGCCGCGUGUGGGAAGAAGGCCUUCGGGUUGUAAAGUACUUUCAGCGAGGAGGCGUUACCCGCAGAAGAAGCACCGGCUAACUCCGUGCCAGCAGCCGCGGUAAUUC
rnacentral:rRNA from 1 species